rnacentral:rRNA from 12 species
GGGUUGUGAGGUUAAGCGACUAAGCGUACACGGUGGAUGCCCUGGCAGUCAGAGGCGAUGAAGGACGUGCUAAUCUGCGAUAAGCGCCGGUAAGGUGAUAUGAACCGUUAUAACCGGCGAUUUCCGAAUGGGGAAACCCAGUGUGAUUCGUCACACUAUCAUUAACUGAAUCCAUAGGUUAAUGAGGCGAACCGGGGGAACUGAAACAUCUAAGUACCCCGAGGAAAAGAAAUCAACCGAGAUUCCCCCAGUAGCGGCGAGCGAACGGGGAGGAGCCCAGAGCCUGAAUCAGCAUGUGUGUUAGUGGAAGCGUCUGGAAAGGCGCGCGAUACAGGGUGACAGCCCCGUACACAAAAGCGCAUGUGCUGUGAGCUCGAUGAGUAGGGCGGGACACGUGGUAUCCUGUCUGAAUAUGGGGGGACCAUCCUCCAAGGCUAAAUACUCCUGACUGACCGAUAGUGAACCAGUACCGUGAGGGAAAGGCGAAAAGAACCCCGGCGAGGGGAGUGAAAAAGAACCUGAAACCGUGUACGUACAAGCAGUGGGAGCACAGGUUUACCUGUGUGACUGCGUACCUUUUGUAUAAUGGGUCAGCGACUUAUAUUCUGUAGCAAGGUUAACCGAAUAGGGGAGCCGGAGGGAAACCGAGUCUUAAUUGGGCGUUAAGUUGCAGGGUAUAGACCCGAAACCCGGUGAUCUAGCCAUGGGCAGGUUGAAGGUUGGGUAACACUAACUGGAGGACCGAACCGACUAAUGUUGAAAAAUUAGCGGAUGACCUGUGGCUGGGGGUGAAAGGCCAAUCAAACCGGGAGAUAGCUGGUUCUCCCCGAAAGCUAUUUAGGUAGCGCCUCGUGAACUCAUCUCCGGGGGUAGAGCACUGUUUCGGCUAGGGGGCCAUCCCGGCUUACCAACCCGAUGCAAACUGCGAAUACCGGAGAAUGUUAUCACGGGAGACACACGGCGGGUGCUAACGUCCGUCGUGAAGAGGGAAACAACCCAGACCGCCAGCUAAGGUCCCAAAGUCAUGGUUAAGUGGGAAACGAUGUGGGAAGGCCCAGACAGCCAGGAUGUUGGCUUAGAAGCAGCCAUCAUUUAAAGAAAGCGUAAUAGCUCACUGGUCGAGUCGGCCUGCGCGGAAGAUGUAACGGGGCUAAACCAUGCACCGAAGCUGCGGCAGCGACACUGUGUGUUGUUGGGUAGGGGAGCGUUCUGUAAGCCUGUGAAGGUGGCCUGUGAGGGUUGCUGGAGGUAUCAGAAGUGCGAAUGCUGACAUAAGUAACGAUAAAGCGGGUGAAAAGCCCGCUCGCCGGAAGACCAAGGGUUCCUGUCCAACGUUAAUCGGGGCAGGGUGAGUCGACCCCUAAGGCGAGGCCGAAAGGCGUAGUCGAUGGGAAACAGGUUAAUAUUCCUGUACUUGGUGUUACUGCGAAGGGGGGACGGAGAAGGCUAUGUUGGCCGGGCGACGGUUGUCCCGGUUUAAGCGUGUAGGCUGGUUUUCCAGGCAAAUCCGGAAAAUCAAGGCUGAGGCGUGAUGACGAGGCACUACGGUGCUGAAGCAACAAAUGCCCUGCUUCCAGGAAAAGCCUCUAAGCAUCAGGUAACAUCAAAUCGUACCCCAAACCGACACAGGUGGUCAGGUAGAGAAUACCAAGGCGCUUGAGAGAACUCGGGUGAAGGAACUAGGCAAAAUGGUGCCGUAACUUCGGGAGAAGGCACGCUGACACGUAGGUGAAGUGAUUUACUCAUGGAGCUGAAGUCAGUCGAAGAUACCAGCUGGCUGCAACUGUUUAUUAAAAACACAGCACUGUGCAAACACGAAAGUGGACGUAUACGGUGUGACGCCUGCCCGGUGCCGGAAGGUUAAUUGAUGGGGUCAGCGCAAGCGAAGCUCCUGAUCGAAGCCCCGGUAAACGGCGGCCGUAACUAUAACGGUCCUAAGGUAGCGAAAUUCCUUGUCGGGUAAGUUCCGACCUGCACGAAUGGCGUAAUGAUGGCCAGGCUGUCUCCACCCGAGACUCAGUGAAAUUGAACUCGCUGUGAAGAUGCAGUGUACCCGCGGCAAGACGGAAAGACCCCGUGAACCUUUACUAUAGCUUGACACUGAACAUUGAGCCUUGAUGUGUAGGAUAGGUGGGAGGCUUUGAAGCGUGGACGCCAGUCUGCGUGGAGCCGACCUUGAAAUACCACCCUUUAAUGUUUGAUGUUCUAACGUGGACCCGUAAUCCGGGUUGCGGACAGUGUCUGGUGGGUAGUUUGACUGGGGCGGUCUCCUCCUAAAGAGUAACGGAGGAGCACGAAGGUUGGCUAAUCCUGGUCGGACAUCAGGAGGUUAGUGCAAUGGCAUAAGCCAGCUUGACUGCGAGCGUGACGGCGCGAGCAGGUGCGAAAGCAGGUCAUAGUGAUCCGGUGGUUCUGAAUGGAAGGGCCAUCGCUCAACGGAUAAAAGGUACUCCGGGGAUAACAGGCUGAUACCGCCCAAGAGUUCAUAUCGACGGCGGUGUUUGGCACCUCGAUGUCGGCUCAUCACAUCCUGGGGCUGAAGUAGGUCCCAAGGGUAUGGCUGUUCGCCAUUUAAAGUGGUACGCGAGCUGGGUUUAGAACGUCGUGAGACAGUUCGGUCCCUAUCUGCCGUGGGCGCUGGAGAACUGAGGGGGGCUGCUCCUAGUACGAGAGGACCGGAGUGGACGCAUCACUGGUGUUCGGGUUGUCAUGCCAAUGGCACUGCCCGGUAGCUAAAUGCGGAAGAGAUAAGUGCUGAAAGCAUCUAAGCACGAAACUUGCCCCGAGAUGAGUUCUCCCUGAGACUUAGAGUCUCCUGAAGGAACGUUGAAGACGACGACGUUGAUAGGCCGGGUGUGUAAGCGCAGCGAUGCGUUGAGCUAACCGGUACUAAUGAACCGUGAGGCUUAACCUUACAACGCCGAAG